rnacentral:tRNA from 1 species
AUCUUGAUAGCUUAUAAUUUUAGAGCAUAGCACUGAAGAUGCUAGGGAAGCGAACCACGCUUCAGGAUAU